AACCCUCGGACCACGCUGCGUAUCAGAGCCGCGAUCAUGCCGGUGCCGCGAACCUCCAAGCUCACGUCGUGAUGGCCUGUCUGAAGGAGUCGAGUCUACGGUCCCAGUUUUCGCGAGGAAACGUAUGGAGGUGUCCCUCGUCGAUUUUGCGACUCCGGAUCUUGGACAUAUUGUAGAGCUGCUGAGAAUAUAAGAGAGACGCGUAUUCAUAUCGUGUCUUAUAUUUCCGUCUAUUUUACCCCAGGUUUGGCUGCUCCGGAACAUAUCCAAGGAUCCUAUCUCAGGAUCAAGAAGGGACGUUUCCAUAUGUUUCCUCGGUUAACCCGGUGAAACGUGACACGUGUCGAGAAUAACGAAGAUAGUUGCCUGCAUAUACUCCAUGUAAGCGUGUUUUCUGACCAAGUUGAGCGCCUCGUAAAAAAGCCUGU